rnacentral:rRNA from 1 species
GACGGAGGAUGCAAGUGUUAUCCGGAAUCACUGGGCGUAAAGCGUCUGUAGGUGGUUUAAUAAGUCAACUGUUAAAUCUUGAGGCUCAACCUCAAAAUCGCAGUCGAAACUAUUAGGCUAGAGUAUAGUAGGGGUAAAGGGAAUUUCCAGUGGAGCGGUGAAAUGACGUAGAGAUUGGAAAGAACACCGAUGGCGAAGGCACUUUACUGGGCUAUUACUAACACUCAGAGACGAAAGCUAGGGUAGCAAAUGGG